UCCACUUUUCAAAAAUAGCUCUUUGCUUGACAGUAGGAUAGUUUGGUAAUACUAUAGGUUUCUGGUCAAGUACAUGACUUAAUUUUUCUGAGGUCAAGAUAAUCUUGAGGUUUCUAAGUCAGUCUUUGUAAUUAGUCUCGAUCAAAUGAUUGGUUUCAAGAAUGCGGGCUAGAGGGUUUGAGGUUGACAUAGUUUAACUACGAGAAUAGAGAUUCA
rnacentral:lncRNA from 1 species